rnacentral:rRNA from 1 species
GAUGAACGCUGGCGGCGUGCCUAAUACAUGCAAGUCGAGCGAACGGACGAGAAGCUUGCUUCUCUGAUGUUAGCGGCGGACGGGUGAGUAACACGUGGAUAACCUACCUAUAAGACUGGGAUAACUUCGGGAAACCGGAGCUAAUACCGGAUAAUAUUUUGAACCGCAUGGUUCAAAAGUGAAAGACGGUCUUGCUGUCACUUAUAGAUGGAUCCGCGCUGCAUUAGCUAGUUGGUAAGGUAACGUCUUACCAAGGCAACGAUGCAUAGCCGACCUGAGAGGGUGAUCGGCCACACUGGAACUGAGACACGGUCCAGACUCCUACGGGAGGCAGCAGUAGGGAAUCUUCCGCAAUAGGCGAAAGCCUGACGGAGCAACGCCGCGUGAGUGAUGAAGGUCUUCGGAUCGUAAAACUCUGUUAUUAGGGAAGAACAUAUGUGUAAGUAACUGUGCACAUCUUGACGGUACCUAAUCAGAAAGCCACGGCUAACUACGUG